rnacentral:sRNA from 1 species
UCCAGCAGCCGCGGUAAUACGUUCCCGGGCCUUGUACACACCGCCCGUCACAUCACGAAAGUCGGUUGCACUAGAAGUCGGUGGGCCAACCCGCAAGGGAGGCAGCCGCCUAAAGUGUGAUCGGUAAUUGGGGUGAAGUCGUAACAAGGUAGCUGUAGGAGAACCUGCGGCUGGAUCACCUCCUUUCUAAGGAGCACUCUCCGCCUCGGAUCAAAACGAGGUUGCGAUCGAGUUGCACCCUAGGUCGACAGGAAUCGCAGUAACGUUCGGCCUUCUUGAUCUUCCUGUUCAGUUUUCAGGGCAUCGUCCCUGAGGUCUUUGACAAUUGAAUACGGGGAAGUAGAUAAAGAGAUGCAAGGACUUUUCUUUACGAUUGUGAAGAGAAGCAACUGCAGAUCGCAUGAAAUCAAGGCACUUUAUGGUCAAGUUACUAAGGGUUGACGGUGGAUACCUAGGCACACAGAGUCUAAGGAGACCGGGAGCACGGCACUACCUUCAGGUAGAGCAGGGUGCUCCAGCAGCCUUCGGGCUGUCGGUCAACCAGGUCAACGACUCUGCAGUGAAUUCCUCCCUCGAGGAGGCGCGUGAGGCUUGCUAUUCGGUUUUGAGAGACCGAGCUCCUCCG